CCUUGACCUCAAAUCAGGUAGGAUUACCCGCUGAACUUAAGCAUAUCAAU
rnacentral:rRNA from 1 species